UCACCUCUUCAAACCCAGCAGGAGGGACUUCCAGCAGCAAGGCUUCAAGUGUCCUAGUGAGAUGAAACCCACUGAGGCGCUGCCCACAGCGAGGGGAGCAGCCUGCUUCGCUGAUCCUUAGCCACAGAAAUGCCUGCUCCAAAAGAAAAGCAGCAAGCUAGAUGCAGACCUGGUAGACACCAUGAGGAGAACAUGAGGAACCUACAGAGUUUUUGAAGUAACCCCAGCACAGCUGAGAUACAUAAACUCUCAAGAGAGAGGUGCUCCUCUAUUGUUAAGAAGAUGUAGGAGGAAGGAUGACAUGGCUGACACCCUGUACCAUCUAUCCUGACAGAGAAAGGAACAAGUCACACAUUUUCUGCUACAUCCAUUGAAUCUCUGCACAACUUCCUUUUCUCAUACCAUAUUUGCUCCUGGCCCAUUGCAGGUAAACUGUUCUUUAAAAUGGAUUGAUCACAGUUCAGUGAGCCUCAGACAUUACAUCUUCAUUCCAGAAGUAUGGGUUGAUAGUAAAGAGGUACACUGAGAGGCACCGUUUUUCUGCCAGUGCCUUGGACCUCUAAUCUGUGUAGUGAGGCAGCUUUGUACAAAAGAGGGAUUUUGAUUGAUGCUGAGGAGGUAGGAGGCAAGAAUAUUUCUGUUAUCUGUAGGUUUGGGCAAUUUGUGUUGAAAAACAAAAAGGAGGACAGGUCCAAGAUUUUAGAAUAAUAAUUUUCUAAAAGAGGAGAUUUACUGAAAUCAACUGGACAUAUGAAAAAAAAAUCUGUUUUCUGAAUGGACACUUCCGCAAUGGGGAAAAAAAUCUUAUAAAAUACUGUCCUGUGGUAGCUGUGAGAUAUGCCCUUGAAGACUUACGGCUUCUGCUUUACAUUCAAAAUAUUUCCACAGAGCUGCCUCUAAAUCCCAUGGAAUGCUGCUCCCCAUCACACACAUCUCUGGCAUCUCCCUCCUGUCCUGGAGGCCUCUUCUGCCCUGAGCUCCCCUGCUUUGUUAGCACAGGAUGUAAGUAAGGAGUGCUGCUGGUUCCUGUGGUUUUGCAGCUGAUGACACGUGUUAUCACUGCUCAACAAACACAGCCAAGGUAUCAGUUACCAGGAGACUCUCAGUCUUUCUAAUCUAAUUGUUCAAUAAGGAAAGUUUGGCUCAGAGCUCCAGAGAGCAUUUAACUGUCUGCCUUCCUGCUCCAGCCAUGUAAAGAGAAGACCAUGUUGCUACUUCUACUGUGGCAAGGCUUAUUUAAGGGCUUCCUGCUCUCCUCUCCUUCAUCUGAGUUUGUUAGAACAGUGCUAACACGUUUAUGGGCAAGGGAAAGUCUCAGCCUGUAAGACUCUGUCCAUACCAUGAAAAAGAAAAUCAGAUGAAUCAGCUAAUUAGACCAGUGGUUAUCAGCUAGAAAGUUUUAAUAUGGGAAUAGCUUUUAAAUUUACAAUCCUAUUAUAUCAUUCUUUCUCUUGAUUCAUCUAAUCUUUCUUGCAAUGCCUACAAAAUAUGAAUAUUCUUGCCAAGGAUGCAUUUAAAUUUCACUGAUUAGUGACUUUAUGCUGUGAGUCUUUGGGAAAAGCCUUUUUCUUCCAGAGCUGAUGUUUGUAGACCACAGCAUGCUCAAUCCAAUAGUGGUGGCACCUCCUUGGCUCUCCCUGGGCACUCCUGCUACCAGACGGUGGCCCAACAGCUGCCCCAACACAGAGGCAUUAGGCCAUAAAUUUAGCUUUUUCCUCAUGCUUUUUAAACUCUUAUGCUGCACUCACAUGUAAUUCUUACUUUGUACACCAUCCCAAACAUCCAUCUCCAUACUUGAUGAUGCUGUGGGACAUUCAUCUCUGCCAGCUCUAUCUCCCUUCCUCUCAUUGCUGGAUUUGAAGUUUGGAAGGCUAAUGUUAAACCUUCAGCCCCUGCCUCAAUUCAUGCCUGGCUUGGGGAUCAUGGUGGGCUCACAAUGAGUUACUGGCCCUUUGCCUCUACUGGGUCUGCUUUUUGACGGCUUUCACUCUAUGCUUCUGAUCUUCGAGCAAAUCCUAGCUGUAACCCCAGCCUUCACAUUCCCCUUAUGAACUGCUGGCAAACCCGCCCCCUUCUUGCUCUAGGAACCCAAUGGAGUAACUCCUGACAAAUUGCUUUCUUCUGUCCUUGUGGCCAGUGCACAAUCUUAACAUUACCUUCUUGUCUUAGUUAGUGCUGGCAGCUUUGGAUCGCUUUGGAGAGGACUUUAAGUUAGGAUGACUCUCACUUUUUAUGUAGGAUUAAAAUUUGCAAUUUUUCAGGUAGUUAGGGACAAACUUCUGCCUGGCUCUGGGCCAGCGAGGGCUCUUGCACAGCCUGCUGGGGCAAAGGAAAGCUAGCACAGCAGGGAUGGUUUCACUGAAACCAGUUUGAUGGCUCUGGCAGGUUUCUGGACUGUUGUGAAGGUGAUGAUCAAAGCUGCAGAUGGGAAUAGGACCCAGAUGUAAUGAAAGACAGAAGAGCUACUCUCUAACAUAUCCUUAAUCUUGUCAGUUUAAUGCAUUCUGUAUUCAGUUAUGAAUUUGCCCAUUUGUCUUCACAAUAACUAAUGCUACUCAAACCACAGAUACUAGCUUUAUGGCUGGAUCUCACAGGAUUCCAGCUAUUCUGGCUUCUUCACAGUCCCCUGUGUUGGGAGGAAGACUCAAGCUAGCAGAACUGGCUGCAAACUGAUGAUCCCUGCCUUGCCAGUCUCAUACCCACAGGAUCUAUAGGACCCAGCAAGAACUAUUCUGUCCCUAUGGCACUGGUGCAGGUGAUUUGGUCUUAUUCAGGGAACUGCCUGUUGACAUUUUGGAGAGGAAAUUGACCAAAUUUAACAGAUUUCUUCUUAAGGGACUGAAGGAAAUGCAGUUUUUUCUUUUUACAAACGCAACUCUAAGACUCUUUGUUUUAACCCUUCCAAAUGCUACGUGCUUAGACUGUGAUGUUCCUCAUCCCUUCUGUCAUGCUUUGGAUGACACCAUCAUCCAAAGGGAUCACCAGCUGGCCAGACUCCCAGAUGAAUUUCACCUUGUACAAGAGCUCACACAGGGACCAGAAAUAGAUGUCCAGAGAAAAGUAAGAACAGGAUGAGCACAUAUCAUGGAUCCCCAAGUCAUUUGCAUGGAAUUCUGCAAGCAUGGUAUGGUGUGUUCAGUUGGGAAACCUCAAAAGAGCCAUUGUACAAAUAUUUGUGUGGUCUCCUUUUGGACUUGGGUAAACCUUUUGCCUCCAUGUGUCCCUUGGUAGGGUGUUCUGCGGAUGUGAAAUAAAGCCUUUGUUACUUUGAA